UACAGAGGAUGCAAGCGUUAUCCGGAAUGAUUGGGCGUAAAGCGUCUGUAGGUGGCUUUUUAAGUCCGCCGUCAAAUCCCAGGGCUCAACUCUGGACAGGCGGUGGAAACUACCAAGCUGGAGUACGGUAGGGGCAGAGGGAAUUUCCGGUGGAGCGGUGAAAUGCGCAGAUAUCAGGAAGAACACCUAUGGCGAAGGCAGCUCUCUGGGACGGUACUGACGCUGAGACGCGAAAGCGUGGGGAGCGAACAGG
rnacentral:rRNA from 1 species